CACGUAGGGCGCAAGCGUUGUCCGGAAUUAUUGGCGUAAAGAGCUCGUAGGCGGUUCGUCGCGUCGGCUGUGAAAUCCCGAGGCUCAACCUCGGGUCUGCAGUCGAUACGGGCGGACUGGAGUUCGGCAGGGGAGACUGGAAUUCCUGGUGUAGCGGUGAAAUGCGCAGAUAUCAGGAGGAACACCGGUGGCGAAGGCGGGUCUCUGGGCCGAUACUGACGCUGAGGAGCGAAAGCGUGGGGAGCGAACAGG
rnacentral:rRNA from 1 species